rnacentral:lncRNA from 1 species
AGGCUCCUCUGUGCGUGGCAUUCUCCAGGCAAGAAUACCAGUCAGUGGGCUGCCACUUUCUCCUCCAGGGGAUCUUCCCAACCCAAGGAUCAAACCCACGUCUCCUGUAUCUCUGGCAGAUUAGGGACUGGGGAGUUAUCUGCUUCCUGAGCAGUUUCUGCUUGAGCUGAUAAAUGUUUGAAAGCAGCCUUGAUGGAUGCAAAACAAUGUGAAUGUACUAAAGGCCGCUGAAUCACACUUACAAAUGGGCAAGUUUUUAUGCUGUAGAUAGUCUACCACAAUGAGAACGUAUUUCCCUGUGGCUUCCCACCAUGGAGGGAUAAUACAAACUAGCGACUGUUUCCUAGAGAAACUUCUUAGAGAAGAAACUUUAUCCCCUGAACCGAAGGCUGAGUUCUACAAACAGCGCAAGAUAGCCCGGCCACCGCCCAACAGAAGGGAUGGACUGGUUUCCUUCUUGUUCUUCUAUGAAACUAAACGGGUUGGGACAUCAGAACAGUGUUCAUUACUGUGAAAUCACAAAACAGAAAACAAGUCUUCCCCUUCUCUCCUGUUGACAAAAAAAUUGUGUGGGGCUUCCCUGGAGGCUCAGUGGUAAAGAAGCUGCCUGCCAAUGCAUAAGACCCUGGUCUGAUCCCACAUGCCUCGAGGCAACGAAGCCCGUGCACCACGAGCCUGUGCUCACGAGCCAGGGAGCAGCAACUACUGAAGCCCACAUGCCCUAGAGCCUGUGCUGCACACGAGAGGGACCACACGGUGAGAAGCUCACACACGGAAACGAGGCAGCAGCCCCGCUCGCCAUAACUGGAGAAAAGCCCGCACAGCAGCGAAGACCUAGCACCGCCAAAAAUAAAUCAAUAAAACUGUUUUAAAAUGGAAAAAAA